CCGUGUACUGCCAGUGACUGCUCAAAUAAUCAAUGUUACUUCUGUUACUUGAAAUAUUUUCACUGGGUGAUUAUACUAAAAAACCCUAUUAUUAAAAUAGAGUUUUUAAAUAAGGGAAAAAUCACUUCCCGAGGAGCCUUCCUUUAAUCCUUUAAUAUCAUUAUUUGAAUCUAGUAACACAGACUGCUUGGUGGAACUAGUCCUCAAGCGGUCACCUAGUCCACUUCCUGUUUCGACACAGGAUCACUUAUAGUCAACCAGUUCCUGACAGUAACUUGUUCUAACUUGCAUUCUUAAAAAACUAUGAUGGUACAUAACCACCAUCUCCUUACACAUACUGCUGUCUUUACAGCUCAGAACUCCAAACAUCUAUCCUAGAUCUUGUGGAAAUUUAAUUUGCUCUCCAUAACCACCUGACAAGACUAGCAGUAACUGUCAUAUUUUCUUGGCAGAACCUUCUUCUAAAUCCAAAUAUUAUUCUUUCUUUCCUCUAAUCUGUAUUCUUUCCAGUUAGCCUGUAUCACUUUGCAGUGUAGCACUUAGAAGUGGAUAAGGUACUCCAGCUGGCCUUUACUAGUGCUGUACUGAAUGGAAUGACUUUAUAUACCAUGUCUCCAAUGCUUUAAUAUAUCCCCCUACUAUGACUGCUUUUCUAUUUAUUUCUGUUCUCUGGCCUUGUAUUGUACAUCCUUGGAAGGCAUACAAUGCUCAGACCUGCUACACCUUUUCUGAAGAAGUACUCCUUACCCAGUCUUUUUGCCCACGGAUUGUGAAAGCUCACUAUGCCUAGACAAAGGGCUGUUCCUUGCAAUUCUCAUUAUUAAAUUACAUGCAGUAGCACAUAAUUUAAGGUCACUUUGAAUUCAAAUACGCUAGUUCUGUCCUCCAGUAUGCCUAUAAUCUUUUUUUGUUAACUUGCAAUGUAAUAUUUAUAUGCACUAGUCCUGUACCCAGGUCAAUAAUGACCACAUAGAACAUCCCAGGUUGGAAGGGACCCAUAAGGAUCAUUGAGUCCAACUACUGGCUCCACACAGGUCUCACAAAUUUCAUUUGGCCAAACACUAAGUUGAACUCACAAUUCAUUAAAGCACUGUAUAUUAUAUAUUCAACUUUAACCAUUGCAAUAGUCUAACAUUGAAGAUCAUAGAAUCAUUAAGGUUGGAAAAGACCACUAAGAUCGCCUAGUCCAAUCUUCAAUCCAUCGCCACCAUGCCCGCUAAACCAUGUCCCUCAGUGCCACAUCUACACAUUUUUUGGACAUCUCCAUCAAUAAAUAAUUAAAAAUAAUAAUAAUAAUCACGAUUUACUGCAGGAUGGUCUUCCACAGACCCUCCCUAAAAAUUCUCCCAGCCUGAAAGUGAGCUACUGCUAUCUCAGAUCUCAGCGGCAUUUCAUCAAGGCAAUCUCUCCCCUUUCCUGUUUCUGAAAGUGAUGCUUACAUCAGUCAAGUAAAUCUUCAUCUGAGUUCCUAAAAGAUCCUGUUUUACAGUAAGCGCUAUAAAAUUAACAAGUGUUCCAACCACUGCUCUGAACUUGAUAAUACUACAGGGCAUUCUAUGCAGGAGUACACCAUAGAAAAUUAAUCCAAAUUAACACAAGCAGGUUAGGACAUGUUUAUCACUUGUGGUUACUGGCUCAAAGCUGCACCAAUUUAAAGUCACAGCAUAGUUCUUGGCUAGUUUAAUGGAAUGGAUGCUCCUGUCCUAGGUGGCAGCUGAAUAUCCUUACUCCUGCCUACUUAGCCCUUAACUCAGAAACAAGCUCAAGGUGUUUUCCAAGAUGCCUAUACUAUUUGUUUCAGAAUGUUCCACAUACAUGCAAAUCCUAGUUACAUGAGGUGCAGGAAACCUCCACAGAUCAAUUUUACAUUAAACAGUCGACCCAUUUUAAAUAAAAGGUUUAAUAUCAUUUAGCUGAUUAUCUUCUAUUUUCACUUUGUUAAUUUGAGUUAAAAUUAGGUAUCCCAAGGCUAUAAAAGUAAAGAUCAAGUCAAAGAAGUGUAACUGACACACACAGACAAAUAGAUCUGAUAGAGAAAUGAUCAGUGUGCUUGGACUGGCACAUACUCUGCUCAUUACAAACUAAAUGACAGGCUAGCAGCGGUCAGCAAUGCACAGUGUGAAAACAUAUAUAUACAUAUAUAUGUUUAUGGCAUAUUUUAAUUAGUUUUAUGACAGAGUCUGAAAAGGGCUUUUUUCAGCUAUACAAAUGGAUAUUUGAAAAGCAGAUUUGUCUUUCAGUCUAAGGACAUAUUGUGGUUUUUACAAUUUUUAUGCUGCAGUGGAAAUGCUAAGUCAUGGCUUGAAGCAGUGAUUGAGCACCUGUUGGGAGGGCAGGGCCAACCCAGGGGAGGUCAGGUGCACUGAGUGACUGAAAGGGGUGAAGCCAGGAUCCACCCCUUCCCAGAGCUCAUUUAAGGGUUGGCACUGGAGGCAAGGGUAUCUUGCUGGAGAUCCCUAUGCUCUUGAGGCCUUCUGAAGAUCUUGCACCUGUGAAGAGGGAGAGCCAUCAACCUCGCAGACAGACAUAUCAGACGGCCAGAGGCAAUCCACAGCAUUGCUCUCAAGGGUGUUUAAAAAGUAGGUUUGCAGAUCUGCCUGGCUGCCUCUGACACUGGAAUCAUCUCUGCAUCAACUUUGCUCCUCUCAACACCUUCUGCUGCCUUUCCUCCCCCAGCUUUACGAGAGCUGUAUUUACAUGAUAAAAAGCAACAUAAUAACCUGAAAUAAUCUUUAGCUUAGAUUGAUAUUGUAACAACCACUCCGAAGAUGUUACAGUCCAGAAAAGCAACACUGAAAACUUCGUGUUAAUCUUACUAUUUAUCCAUGUCCAUAGGAGGUGUAACUUCAAAAGAUUCAAGGCAAUUUCCUCUAUAAAAUGUCAAAACAAAAAAAACCUCCACAAGAAAACCCACGCAAGCAAGACUGCUUUUCCAUAUGUACAGCAAGUGUUAAAGUAUGAACUAAUAGCGACUGCCCUGAAAGCCCUUGCACCAUUUCCAUUAAGUCCAACCACAGUACUGAACCACUGGAGAUGUAAAGAACUGGACUCGCAAUGAUUAACCAAAAUAAAGCUAAGUGGAGAAAACUCAGUUGUGAGCCUCUAUGUGAUGCACCUCAGGCAUUUAAAAAAAAAAAAAAAAAAAAAAAAGAGAAAAAGCCCAAAAUCUAGCAAUAAAUUACAAAGUCCACAGUGUUCCCAGAACUUUUCCUUCUGCAGCCAACUCCUCUUCCAAAGGGUUUCUUUAACAAACUCAAAAGUCAUCAGUCACCCUGUCACAUUCUGCAGUAAUUCUAAGACAUUGCAAAAUGUAUUUACUGAGUUUAAGUACAGUGCAAAAUUACUAAAAACAUUCCUGAAAGUUUGAGCUACUGUAUUUGGGCUGGAUAAGGAAAACUGAAAGCUACUGUGGCUAUUGCACAGCUCCUCUUGCUAUAGUGUAUUUGUAAAUGUUUGUAAAGAAAGGGAACUCCAGGGAAAAGCCAGAAAGUUGUGUUUCAUCUCAGAAGGCAACUGGGAUUGAGGGAAUUAAAGUUUGCUUUAUUUCACACAGCUGAACUUACAGAAAAUAAUUAGUACAUGUCUCGAGAGCUGGACUGCCAGUAACCUUGUGUGUAAAUAAAAAUGCAGCAGAUAAAGCCUGACAAGGUUUCUUGAGAUUUUGAUACUUAGAGGCUACACCUGAAGAACCUUAUGGUUGGAAUCCACAGAUCCUGUGAGAGAAGAUUUGCCUGACUUUCUCCAGAAAGCACAGCAGGACAGAACUGUGACUUUAAGGUGCACGAGGCUCUACUGCAAUCAUAAGGCCUGCAAAAGCCAUGGGGCUUGUGUGACUUCUGUAAUUAAAGAGCACUGCUUGACAUCACCCUACAGCCUGCAUUGAAAUACACCAGGAAGAUCCACCCUACACGAACAAGGGACGUAAACCUGUCUCAGCAAACCAGACACCUGAAGCUGACAC